UCCUUCAACCACUCUGAAAUGAACGCUCAUGCCCCCGGUUGCACGCCGGCUUUGCAUAGUCGCAAGUUGCCCUUGGCAACUGUUUUAUCCUUCAACUUGACGUCUUAGGUCGGGCUGACGUCGAGAGUAGAAGGCUUUGAGGAGUGACUUAACGGAAGGAAAGCUAAACACAGCCAAAAAAAACAUGGAGGAACGUGAACGAAACCAGCUCGAGCUCGGUUGUAAAGAAGGAUCCACAGUGAAUGGGCUAAAUGGAUGGCGUAGAUGCUUUUUCUAGGAAGAGAAAACCAUUGGAAAGAGCGAGUGGGGUCCAGCUCCCCACCCACUAACACCAUUUCGUUAAGCCUGCUUAAUCAUCUCCUGUUAUUUCCUCAUUGGUGGAUAGAAAAAUGCUUCCCUUGCUCGUCAUUCCAUUUUCUAGCUCUGUGCUGAAGAAUUUUGAACCCAGCAUCAGCAUGAACCACUCCCCAACUCCACUCACAGAACAACACCUACACCCGGACUACAAUCGAAGCGAAGGUUGAAGCUGUGCUGCAGUAGUGUGUACUUACCUUUCUUCCGGAGGGGGUUUGGGUUUUACAGAAAAAACGAAUUCCACUUUUACAGACUUUUCUCCCCUCAGCAGAUCCAUGCAGUCAUUUCUUCCGUUUUUCCGUCCAUCCAGCGCGCCUCGCAACCGCUUAACCCUUGGGUGUACAAAUGCACACUUGCCGAGUUGUUAAAAAUCUCCCAAAAGUAAAUAAUACAA